rnacentral:rRNA from 1 species
CCUACGGGAGACAGCAGUGAGGAAUAUUGGUCAAUGGUCGGGAGACUGAACCAGCCAAGCCGCGUGAGGGAUGAAGGUACAGAGUAUCGUAAACCUCUUUUGUCAGGGAACAAAGGCGGGGACGCGUCCCCGGAUGAGUGUACCUGAAGAAAAAGCAUCGGCUAACUCCGUGCCAGCAGCCGCGGUAAUACGGAGGAUGCGAGCGUUAUCCGGAUUUAUUGGGUUUAAAGGGUGCGCAGGCGGUCUGUUAAGUCAGCGGUCAAAGCCCGGGGCUCAACCCCGGCCCGCCGUUGAAACUGGCAGUCGCGAGUUGGGGAGAAGUAAGCGGAAUGCGCGGUGUAGCGGUGAAAUGCAUAGAUAUCGCGCAGAACUCCGAUUGCGAAGGCAGCAUGCCGGCUCCACACUGACGCUGAGGCACGAAAGCGUGGGUAUCGAACAGGAUUAGAUACCCCAGUAGUC